rnacentral:rRNA from 1 species
AACGAACGCUGGCGGCAUGCCUAACACAUGCAAGUCGAACGAGACCUUCGGGUCUAGUGGCGCACGGGUGCGUAACGCGUGGGAACCUGCCCUUAGGUUCGGAAUAACUCCCCGAAAGGGGUGCUAAUACCGGAUAAUGUCUUCGGACCAAAGAUUUAUCGCCUUUGGAUGGGCCCGCGUUGGAUUAGCUAGUUGGUAGGGUAAAAGCCUACCAAGGCGACGAUCCAUAGCUGGUGUGAGAGGAUGACCAGCCACACUGGGACUGAGACACGGCCCAGACUCCUACGGGAGGCAGCAGUGGGGAAUAUUGGACAAUGGGCGAAAGCCUGAUCCAGCAAUGCCGCGUGAGUGAUGAAGGCCUUAGGGUUGUAAAGCUCUUUUACCCGGGAUGAUAAUGACAGUACCGGGAGAAUAAGCUCCGGCUAACUCCGUG